CAACCGAAUGCACCUGCUUCCAGUUUCCACCUGCCGUCGACUUCACACCGUCACUGAGCAAACAUGGAGGGAUGUGCCGACGUGAGAGACCUCUGAAUUGACAUAACAGUUUGAGUGAAUUUGCAUGUGCUCAUUCUAUGAUUUUAUCUGCAGAUCUAUUUGAGCUGCUUGUGUGUAUUUUCUCCUCUUGCUAGACAGUGAGUCAGAGUCUUUCCAGACUGGGGCUUUUAGAUUCCCAUGGCUCCUCUGCUGUAAGUCAGUAAGGCAAACUACUAGUCAGUUUCCUGCCAGUCCCUCAGUCGGCGUGUGGGGGCCGAGGCUCGGUGAAGAGUGAGGUAAGCUGUUCCACUAACCCUUCCUGAUUUUGAGUCAGGGAAAUGUGCUCGAGGCAACUGCGGCAUCUUCUGCAGCGGGUUGCACCGACUAACCUCAAUGCCUAAAUGAUUCUGGAGCACAAACCAGGCUCUUCAGACAAAGUAGGUUUCACGUAAGCCUAAUGAUGGAGGUUGGCUUGUGAUUGUUGAAGGGGACCUACUGUUCGCAACAAGCAGGUCAAGCUCUGGGCUAAAAGAAAUAUUUUUCUAAAUAUUUUUCGAUUUAAUUCCGCCUUCCAGUGUGGUGUUUGUUUUACCACCAGCUGCGUAGUCUUGUUCAGUCCAUAGAAGUUUACAUUUGUCUGAGAUGAAACUGCAGCUCUUCAGGCGUCUUCUACAGAACCAAAAACACAACACGCUCCCUUUCUUGUUCCUUGGGGAGAGCAGAGGCCUGGAUGUGAAAUCUGAGAGCAUUUUCCUGCUGUGUGCUUUACAGUGCCAGAGCACUCACUGUAAUUUACCAAAAGUGGCUGCUAUUUAUGCCAUAAAGCAUGUGUUUAACAUUCCUGAACCCCGCUGUGUUUGUGUAUUCCUUGCUCUCUCCCACUCACUCUCUCGGCUGUAUUUCUGUUUAUAUGUGUGUGUCUGUGUGUGUAUUAAGUGGAAACGGUCCCUUCAGAGCGGCAGGCCUUUCCCUCCUCACAGAAGGAUCAUCUCUUUCUCUCGGAGACAAGGCCAACAGGAAGUGGGAGUUUACAUUGGCCUACUUUACCACCACCCCCCACCCCAAAAAAAAGCUGCCUUUUAGGAUGAAAAGCUGCAAAGAUCAAGUGCUUCAUGAGCUGCACUUUGCCACCACCAGCGACACAUCCCAUCCCCCCCUUUCAGCUGUCCCACCCAUGGCUGGUGUCUUACCAAGCUUUCGGGGUGGAGUUGGGUGACCGAGAACUUAAAAGUGGCCUUCGCUGGAGCAGGAGUCUGUGCUCAAGAACCUGGAGAAAACGCUCCCAGGAAAAGCUCUCUUUCCCUCAUUGUGGCUCAGUGGCAGACGUACCAGUUUGGGGAACCGCAGGCGUACAAUAACAUGGGGCCGUCUGCAGCAUUUGUAUUACGGUAAUAAUUUUUCUAA